UACGGGGGGGGUAAGCGUUGUUCGGAAUUACUGGGCGUAAAGGGCUCGUAGGCGGCCAACUAAGUCAGACGUGAAAUCCCUCAGCUUAACUGGGGAACUGCGUCUGAUACUGGAUGGCUUGGAUUCGGGAGAGGAAUGCGGAGUUCCAGGUGUAGCGGUGAAAUGCGUAGAUAUCAGGAGGAACACCAAUGGCGAAGGCAGCUCGCUGGGACGGUACUGACGCUGAGACGCGAAAGCGUGGGGAGCAAACAGG
rnacentral:rRNA from 1 species